UGGGGAAUUUUGGACAAUGGGCGAAAGCCUGAUCCAGCAAUGCCGCGUGUGUGAAGAAGGCCUUCGGGUUGUAAAGCACUUUUGUCCGGAAAGAAAUCCUUGGCUCUAAUACAGUCGGGGGAUGACGGUACCGGAAGAAUAAGCACCGGCUAACUACGUGCCAGCAGCCGCGGUAAUACGUAGGGUGCAAGCGUUAAUCGGAAUUACUGGGCGUAAAGCGUGCGCAGGCGGUUUGCUAAGACCGAUGUGAAAUCCCGGGCUCAACCUGGGAACUGCAUUGGUGACUGGCAGGCUAGAGUAUGGCAGAGGGGGGUAGAAUUCCACGUGUAGCAGUGAAAUGCGUAGAGAUGUGGAGGAAUACCGAUGGCGAAGGCAGCCCCCUGGGCCAAUACUGACGCUCAUGCACGAAAGCGUGGGGAGCAAACAGGAUUAGAUACCCUGGUAGUCCACGCCCUAAACGAUGUCAACUAGUUGUUGGGGAUUCAUUCCUUAGUAACGCAGCUAACGCGUGAAGUUGACCGCCUGGGGAGUAC
rnacentral:rRNA from 1 species